AUCUGCCCUCUCACCAGGGCCGCCGUCAAACAGGGGGUGUCAGGCCAAUAUAAGCCCCGAAUAAAACUGAGGGCUCCGACCUGCACCACCUCCCGCUAUUAUACCAGGACUCCCAGCAUUCGCCUGUAGUUAAAUGAGCGGCUGGAGGGUUGUAUCGCUGGAAUAGAGACUGGCAAUCUCGGUUCCGUGGGGACCCGAGGCUAAAGCCCUUUCUUUUCCCUAGCCCCUAACUGGCUCAAUGUGACCACCCCACCACCACCUCGGUUGGCACGGUCCGCUCACUGACUUGUGCUGAGAGAGGAACACUAUACUGAGGUGGAGCAGGAUAUCUAGAAGGAGUGCAGAUUCAAGAACAGAUGAUCUAAUAAACAACUUUGCUGUGGAAGCCGCAGUUGAAUACUUGACCCAAAGAAGCAAACACAUCAGUGCCAUUAAAGCUGAUGCAUUCCAACCAUGGAGGGACACAUCAGUGGAGUCAUAAUCAGUCUCCAGCAUUCAAUGGCAAUCGAAAGUAAAUCGGCAACCCCUCAGGCUUGUCAGCACAGCAGGGAAACUAUUUUUUAUGUCUCCAUUUCUCUGCCUUAGGGCAUGGGUGCUUUUGUUGGAUGUCCUUGCAUUGACAGAUCUCAUACCACAAGUCGGAUGUAGUUGCACAUGUCUAAAAUGAUGUAAGUGAUGUUAGAAUCUAAUCUGUAAACUACAUGAAUGAUUUACCAUACAGCACAACACAACUGUUGGAAGGGGAUAGCCUUUUAUUUUUUGUGGGAAUACAUUGGCUUGUAGGUGCAUUUUAAAACAAGAAACCAUACAGCUUUAUCUGAUCAGAUGAUACAUUACACUAUGGAGGGAUCAGAUUUUGUAGCAUCCCACAAAAUCGCUGUUGCAUGCAGUUGCAUGCAGUUGCAUGACAGUAUUAUGUAGGAAAAUUAGGUCUAGCCAACCCAACCAAAAUCUCCUGUGUACAUCAAGCCUAAGAAUAGAUUUCCUAAUUUUAUAAAACUUGAUAUACAGUAUUCAGGCACUGUGAGUUUUCGCAUCGUAGGGCUUGCAGAAUACAUUUUGGCACUAGCACUAAAUGGAGAUGAAGAGAUUUUUCCCAAGGACACAAGAUGCUGUAACUAGAUUUGAAUUCAGACCUCCCUCAAACACAUUCCAGCAUCUUAAGGCAACCUCUUCCUGAUAAUGCCAAGAUGAUAAUUAUAUAUAAAGGUGCCUUAAUAUGAGAAGAGGACAAUACAGUGUGUAAUUUGCUGUGUGAGUACAGAUUAAGAGACGGAAGAAAUUUGAAGUUAAUUCUAAAUUUGAUGAAGAAUCAGUUUUUUGCUAUACUUGGUUCCAAAGUUAUUUGCAGGUGCCAGAUAUUUACAACAUGUAUAGGAUCUAUUAUCCAGAAUGUUUGGGAAAUGGAGCUUUCUGUCUAAGCAGCCUUUUGUCAUUUGGAUCUCCAUACCUAAAGUCCACAAAAAAAAAAUGUAAACAUUAAAUUAACCAAAUAUGAUUGUUUUGCCACCAAUAUGAAGCUUAGUUUGGAUUAAGUACAAUGUGCUGAUCUAUUUUUGCAGAGAAAGUGUAAAUCAUUUUUUUUAAAUUAGAAUUAUUUGCUUAAAACUGACUCUAUGAGAGAUGGCCUGCCUGUAAUUCAGAACUUCUGCAUAACAGGUUUCUGGACAAGAGAUCCCAUAUCUUAGGACAGAUACAUUUAAGAAUGUUAUUAUCCCUUGCUACUGUUGAUUAAACCCAAAACAAGAUUCAAAGCUAUCAGUUUCAGAAUUUCCCAACAUCUGUGGGUUUUUUUUUUUACGGUCUGUACCUGGAGUCACAGAGCUGCAGUUUUGAUUGGCUGGCAGCUCCUCAGUUGUAUAUGCAGACUCUGCAUUGCAAGAAUGGAAGUGAAUGUUGCAGUAGAUAAUGAACCACUUUAGCAGCUACUGUGUCCUUAUUGGAAAUAUUAACAAGAAAAGUUGUGAUCACUAUAGAUGGGAACCUGCGCAUGCUCUCUAAAGCUAUGUAUCACGUAGAAGUGAAGUUUUAAAAAUUACUUUUUAUCACAUAGACAUAAUACAGCACUGAGGAACAUGCUAGUGCUUCAUAAAUAUGGGUUAACAAUAACAUCAUACAAUUAGAGGAGUAAAAAGCAACUUUUUUACAAAAAUGUAAAGUGAUGUUGAAACGCCUUGAAAGUGUAAUUGCUUCUGAAAGCAAUUCUUGUCUGCUCCUUUGUAUUAUCUGCCCUGCUGGUUCUGACUCCUGAAACAAUGUAAAAGAAGCCAGCUGAUUACCAGUCAUGAUUGAGAAAUGAUUUGUGGUACAUCGAGUCAGAACAGCAGAGAAUAGAGAUAUUUGGGGUGGAAGGAGAAACUUUGCAUGUUCAGUCAUUUUGGUCUUUAUGCUGAUUUUCACCACUUAUAGGAUAUUUUGAUAUGACAUAAAAUAAAAAUAAAAACAUUUUUUUUACCCUUCCCAUAGCCUUUAGUGAGUUAUUUAGUAACAAACUAAACAUUAGAUUUGAUAGCUUGGUGUAAGUUUGGAUUAUACUUAUUUAUACACAGCACUGCAUGAUAUAAUAUAAUAACAUAUUGAUAUAAGCUUUCUUAGUUAUUAUCUAUAUUAUAAUUAGGCUGCAAAUUGGUCAACAAAUGGGUCUUCUUAUGUACUGCUGAUAUCAUUUAUUAGCCUUUGAUAUCUCAUUUCUUCCAGCCCAAAUCUGCAGAUACGAGACAAGUGAGUCACAUUUCUGAUAAAGAGAAGCAUUUCCAAGACAUUAGUGUUCAUACAGCAUCGCUGCACUUCAUUUUAGGGUCAUCAAAUCAAAUGACAGUUUUCUUCAGUUCCAAACCUAAGCACACCUCCUGCUUGCACAGGCGGCUCUUUAGCCUAAAGUACUGGGGAAUUCCAAGAAGUAAAAAACCUAGUCAUUAGACGAAGAGUGGGAUGAUUUGAAUAAAUAAAGAGCAGCAGAUAUAUGCUAUGAGAAUUCCUCCCUCCAAGCAUGCUUGAUUUAAAAUGAGGAAUUGAAAAUCUCCACGUCUCUACCUCUGAAUGACUGAAUUUACUCUAUGGCUACCUUAACACUUUAACAUCCUCAGCACACUGUAACAUAGGGAUAAUAUACAGUACAUUUUUUAAAAAAGUUCUCAUAAUUGUACCUUUUAUUCUAAUUUGAUUUAAUUACUGUGGAAUGGAAUCUUUUUGUGAGUUCAAGGUAACCUGAAGAGUUCAGCACAUAAGGAACGAUAUGAAAACAUGAUGUAAGAGGUAAGCCAGCCAAGAGGAAUGAGUAUGCAAUGGGCUCAUUAAGUGACACACACAUAGGAAUUGCACAAGAAAUGACAACACCCUUGACAAAGAGAAAUUUAACAAUUUAAAGAUAAUUUAAAAUGACCAAAAAAUGAAAACUAACUACCAGUACAGGAUCUAUUAUUUAGAAACCAGGAGAAAAAGAGAAAAUAGCAGUAAUAUUACAUUAGAGGGCUAGUGUAUUAUUAUUGUUGUUGUUAUUAAUAUGUAUUUAUAAAACACCAGUAUUUACCAUGGUAGGGCAAAGUGCAAAAAAGCAACUAUAUAUUUGCAGGGGGAGAGUGUGGGUAGCAUGUGGGGGUCACUCAGAACAACCUGGAUCUGGAGUGCUGGGGAGUGCAAGGUGCUGGGGACCCCCUGUACCUUAUGUGGUAAAAUUCCAUACCCAGCUUUUUUUUUUUAAGCAGGUUUUAGAUAAAGGGAGCACUGUACUUUAUAGACUUUAUACAAAUUGUCAAGGGGCAUCCAUCUGCUUAUUUUGCA